GACGAACCGUGCGAACGUUGUUCGGAAUCACUGGGCUUAAAGGGCGCGUAGGCGGCCCGCCGCGUCCGGGGUGAAAUCCUCCCGCUCAACGGGAGAACGGCCUCGGAUACGGGCGGGCUGGAGGCGGGUAGGGGCUGGCGGAACUGUGGGUGGAGCGGUGAAAUGCGUUGAGAUCCACAGGAACUCCGGUGGCGAAGGCGGCCUGCUGGACCCGAUCUGACGCUGAGGCGCGAAAGCCAGGGGAGCGAACGGG
rnacentral:rRNA from 1 species